CUACGGGGGGCACCAGUGGGGAAUAUUGCACAAUGGGCGCAAGCCUGAUGCAGCAACGCCGUGUGAGCGAAGAAGGCCUUCGGGUUGUAAAGCUCUGUCCUAAGGGAAGAAACAAAUGACGGUACCUUAGGAGGAAGCCCCGGCUAACUACGUGCCAGCAGCCGCGGUAAUACGUAGGGGGCAAGCGUUAUCCGGAAUCACUGGGCGUAAAGGGUGCGUAGGCGGCUAAGCAAGCCAGGGGUGAAAGGCAUUGGCUCAACCAAUGUAAGCCUUUGGAACUGUUUGGCUUGAGUGCAGGAGAGGUGAGUGGAAUUCCUAGUGUAGAGGUGAAAUUCGUAGAUAUUAGGAGGAACACCAGUGGCGAAGGCGACUUACUGGACUGUAACUGACGCUGAGGCACGAAAGCGUGGGGAGCGAACAGGAUUAGAUACCAGCGUAGUC
rnacentral:rRNA from 1 species